GACGAACGCUGGCGGCGUGCUUAACACAUGCAAGUCGAACGAUGAAGCGGUGCUUGCACCGUGGAUUAGUGGCGAACGGGUGAGUAAUACGUGAGUGACCUACCUUUGACUCUGGGAUAAGCCUGGGAAACUGGGUCUAAUACCGGAUACGACCAAUCUCUGCAUGGGGUGUUGGUGGAAAGCGUUAUGGAGUGGUUUUAGAUGGGCUCACGGCCUAUCAGCUUGUUGGUGAGGUAAUGGCUUACCAAGGCGACGACGGGUAGCCGGCCUGAGAGGGUGACCGGCCACACUGGGACUGAGACACGGCCCAGACUCCUACGGGAGGCAGCAGUGGGGAAUAUUGCACAAUGGGCGCAAGCCUGAUGCAGCGACGCCGCGUGAGGGAUGACGGCCUUCGGGUUGUAAACCUCUGUUAGCAUCGAAGAAGCGAAAGUGACGGUAGGUGCAGAGAAAGCGCCGGCUAACUACGUGCCAGCAGCCGCGGUAAUACGUAGGGCGCGAGCGUUGUCCGGAAUUAUUGGGCGUAAAGAGCUUGUAGGCGGUUGGUCGCGUCUGCUGUGAAGGCCGGGGCUUAACUCCGGUUUUGCAGUGGGUACGGGCUAACUAGAGUGCAGUAGGGGAGACUGGAAUUCCUGGUGUAGCGGUGGAAUGCACAGAUAUCAGGAGGAACACCGAUGGCGAAGGCAGGUCUCUGGGCUGUAACUGACGCUGAGAAGCGAAAGCAUGGGGAGCGAACAGGAUUAGAUACCCUGGUAGUCCAUGCCGUAAACGUUGGGCACUAGGUGUGGGGGACAUUCCACGUUUUCCGCGCCGUAGCUAACGCAUUAAGUGCCCCGCCUGGGGAGUACGGCCGCAAGGCUAAAACUCAAAGGAAUUGACGGGGGCCCGCACAAGCGGCGGAGCAUGCGGAUUAAUUCGAUGCAACGCGAAGAACCUUACCAAGGCUUGACAUGCAUUAGAUCGCGUCAGAGAUGGCGUUUCCCUUCGGGGCUGGUGUACAGGUGGUGCAUGGUUGUCGUCAGCUCGUGUCGUGAGAUGUUGGGUUAAGUCCCGCAACGAGCGCAACCCUCGUUCUAUGUUGCCAGCGGUUCGGCCGGGGACUCAUAGGAGACUGCCGGGGUUAACUCGGAGGAAGGUGGGGAUGACGUCAAAUCAUCAUGCCCCUUAUGUCUUGGGCUUCACGCAUGCUACAAUGGCCGGUACAGAGGGUUGCGAUACUGUGAGGUGGAGCUAAUCCCUUAAAGCCGGUCUCAGUUCGGAUUGGGGUCUGCAACUCGACCCCAUGAAGUCGGAGUCGCUAGUAGUCGCAGAUCAGCAACGCUGCGGUGAAUACGUUCCCGGGCCU
rnacentral:rRNA from 1 species